rnacentral:lncRNA from 1 species
ACACCCCGAGCCGCAGCUCCCAGGUGCGUGUUAAAAGCUGGAGGGGGGAUAUGUGAUCCCAGGACCAAAAGCGCGGGGCCAGACUCAUCGGUUCAUUCAACAACCAGUAUUUAGUGCCUGCUGUGUUCUGCAGGCCCUGCCAUAGGCGCUUGAUACAGCGGUGCAUAGCGUAUGAGAAAGAUCUGUCCUGGCUGAGCAUCCGUAAUAUAAAAAUCUGAAAUCUGAAAUGCUCCAAAAUCCUAAACUUUUUGAGUGCUGACAUUAUGCCACAAAUGGAAAAUUUCAUACCUGACCUUAUGUGAG